CGGGGUGUGGCGCAGCUGGCUAGCGCGCCUCGUUUGGGACGAGGAGGCCCUCGGUUCGAAUCCGAGCACCCCGACUA
rnacentral:tRNA from 3 species